GUGCCAGCAGCCGCGGUAAUACGGGGGGGGCAAGCGUUGUUCGGAAUUACUGGGCGUAAAGGGCUCGUAGGCGGCCAACUAAGUCAGACGUGAAAUCCCUCGGCUUAACCGGGGAACUGCGUCUGAUACUGGAUGGCUCGAGUGUGGGAGAGGGAUGCGGAAUUCCAGGUGUAGCGGUGAAAUGCGUAGAUAUCUGGAGGAACACCGGUGGCGAAGGCGGCAUCCUGGACCACGACUGACGCUGAGGAGCGAAAGCCAGGGGAGCAAACGGGAUUAGAAACCCGAGUAGUCC
rnacentral:rRNA from 1 species